rnacentral:rRNA from 1 species
CCUACGGGAGGCAGCAGUGAGGAAUAUUGGUCAAUGGACGAGAGUCUGAACCAGCCAAGUAGCGUGAGGGAUGAAUGACCUCUGGGUUGUAAACUUCUUUUAUAUGGGAAUAAAAUGUUCCACGUGUGGGAUUUUGUAUGUACAAUAUGAAUAAGGAUGGGCUAACUCUGUGCCAGCAGCAGCGGUAAUACGGAGGAUCCGGGCGUUAUCCGGAUGUAGUGGGUGUAAAGGGAGCGGAGGUGGAUUGUUAAGUCGGUUGUGAAAGUUUGCGGCUCAACCGUAAAAUUGCAGUUGAGACUGGCAGACUUGAGUACAGGAGAGGUAGGCGGAAUUCGUGGUGUAGCGGUGAAAUGCUUAGAUAUCACGAAGAACUCCGAUUGCGAAGGCAGUUCACUGGACUGCAACUGACACUGAGGCUCGAAAGUGUGGGUAUCAAACAGGAUUAGAUACCCGAGUAGUC